rnacentral:rRNA from 1 species
CCGNNACACGGGUGCGUAACGCGUAUGCAACCUACCUUUUACAGAGGGAUAGCCCAGAGAAAUUUGGAUUAAUACCUCAUAGUAUAUAGUCUUCGCAUGUUGACUAUAUUAAAGUUCCAACGGUAAAAGAUGGGCAUGCGUCCUAUUAGCUAGAUGGUAAGGUAACGGCUUACCAUGGCAACGAUAGGUAGGGGUCCUGAGAGGGAGAUCCCCCACACUGGUACUGAGACACGGACCAGACUCCUACGGGAGGCAGCAGUGAGGAAUAUUGGACAAUGGGCGCAAGCCUGAUCCAGCCAUGCCGCGUGCAGGAAGAAGCAUCUAUGGUGUG